UACGGAGGAUGCGAGCGUUAUCCGGAUUUAUUGGGUUUAAAGGGUGCGCAGGCGGCCUGUUAAGUCAGCGGUAAAAGCCCGGGGCUCAACCCCGGCGAGCCGUUGAAACUGGCGGGCUGGAGUUGGAGAGAAGUACGCGGAAUGCGCGGUGUAGCGGUGAAAUGCUUAGAUAUCGCGCAGAACCCCGAUUGCGAAGGCAGCCUGCCGCAGCGUUACUGACGCUGAAGCUCGAAAGCGCGGGUAUCGAACAGG
rnacentral:rRNA from 1 species